rnacentral:miRNA from 1 species
UGAGGGCUGCUGGGUUGCUAGGU